rnacentral:rRNA from 1 species
GAUGAACGCUGGCGGCGUGCCUAAUACAUGCAAGUCGAGCGAACGGACGAGAAGCUUGCUUCUCUGAUGUUAGCGGCGGACGGGUGAGUAACACGUGGAUAACCUACCUAUAAGACUGGGAUAACUUCGGGAAACCGGAGCUAAUACCGGAUGAUAUUUUGAACCGCAUGGUUCAAAAGUGAAAGACGGUCUUGCUGUCACUUAUAGAUGGAUCCGCGCUGCAUUAGCUAGUUGGUAAGGUAACGGCUUACCAAGGCAACGAUGCAUAGCCGACCUGAGAGGGUGAUCGGCCACACUGGAACUGAGACACGGUCCAGACUCCUACGGGAGGCAGCAGUAGGGAAUCUUCCGCAAUGGGCGAAAGCCUGACGGAGCAACGCCGCGUGAGUGAUGAAGGUCUGCGGAUCGUAAAACUCUGUUAUUAGGGAAGAACAUAUGUGUAAGUAACUGUGCAUAUCUUGACGGUACCUAAUCAGAAAGCCACGGCUAACUACGU